rnacentral:rRNA from 1 species
GACGAACGCUGGCGGCGUGCCUAAUACAUGCAAGUCGAACGAGCGGCGGACGGGUGAGUAAUGUCUGGGAAACUGCCUGAUGGAGGGGGAUAACUACUGGAAACGGUAGCUAAUACCGCAUACCAUCAGAUGUGCCAAGUUGGGAUUAGCUAGUCGGUGGGGUAACGGCUCACCUAGGCGACGAUCCCUAGCCGGUCUGAGAGGAUGACCAGCCACACUGGAACUGAGACACGGUCCAGACUCCUACGGGAGGCAGCAGUGGGGAAUAUUGCACAAUGGGCGCAAGCCUGAUGCAGCAAUGCCGCGUGUGUGAAGAAGGCCUUCGGGUUGUAAAGCGCUUUCGGCGGGGAGGCGGUACCCGCAGAAGAAGCACCGGCUAACUCCGUGCCAGCAGCCGCGGUAAUUC